UACAGAGGAUGCAAGCGUUUAUCCGGAAUGAUUGGGCGUAAAGCGUCUGUAGGUGGCUUUUUAAGUCCGCCGUCAAAUCCCAGGGCUCAACUCUGGACAGGCGGUGGAAACUACCAAGCUGGAGUACGGUAGGGGCAGAGGGAAUUUCCGGUGGAGCGGUGAAAUGCGCAGAUAUCGGGAAGAACACCCGUGGCGAAGGCGGUUCUCUGGGACGGUACUGACGCUGAGACGCGAAAGCGUGGGGAGCGAACAGG
rnacentral:rRNA from 1 species